GAUGAACGCUGGCGGCGUGCCUAAUACAUGCAAGUCGAGCGAACAGACGAGGUCCUUGCUCCUCUGAGGUUAGCGGCGGACGGGUGAGUAGCACGUGGAUAGCCUACCUCUCCGACUGGGAUAACAACGGGAAACAGGAGCUACUAACGGAUAAUAUAUUGAACCUCAUGGUUCAAUGGUGAAAGACGGUUUUGCCGUCACUUAUAGAUGGAUCCGCGCCGCAUUAGCUAGUUGGUAAGGUGACGGCUUACCAAGGCAACGAUGCGUAGCCGACCUGAGAGGGUGGUCGGCCACGCUGGAUCUGAGACGCGGUCCAGACUCCGACGCGAGGCAGCGGUACAGACUCUUCCGCUAUGCACGAAGGCCUGACGGAGCACCGCCGCGUGAGGGAUGAAGGUCUUCGGAUCGUAAAGCGCUGUUAUUAGGGAAGAACAAAUGUGUAAGUAACUGUGCGCGUCUUGACGGUACCUGAACAGAAAGCCCCGGCUAACUACGUG
rnacentral:rRNA from 1 species